UAGGGAAUCUUCCGCAAUGGACGAAAGUCUGACGGAGCAACGCCGCGUGAGCGAUGAAGGUUUUCGGAUCGUAAAGCUCUGUUGUUAGGGAAGAACAAGUAUCGGAGUAACUGCCGGUACCUUGACGGUACCUAACCAGAAAGCCACGGCUAACUACGUGCCAGCAGCCGCGGUAAUACGUAGGUGGCAAGCGUUGUCCGGAUUUAUUGGGCGUAAAGCGCGCGCAGGCGGUCCUUUAAGUCUGAUGUGAAAUCUUGCGGCUCAACCGCAAGCGGUCAUUGGAAACUGGGGGACUUGAGUACAGAAGAGGAAAGUGGAAUUCCACGUGUAGCGGUGAAAUGCGUAGAGAUGUGGAGGAACACCAGUGGCGAAGGCGACUUUCUGGUCUGUAACUGACGCUGAGGCGCGAAAGCGUGGGGAGCAAACAG
rnacentral:rRNA from 1 species